UCCGUCAUGGUGUAGUGGCUAGCAUUUCAGACUCUCAAACAGAACUCUGAGAACCCGGGUUCAAUUCCCGGUGACGGAA